ensembl:lncRNA
UUUUGGGUCAGUCCGCCCUCAUGCCUGAGGUUGUAUUUUCCUUUGCUUGCCAAAUAAAACCAAGCUGUAACACUGGUCUGCUGCUUCAAACUUUUGCUGCAGUGAGACAGAACCAAGGAAAUUACAUACUCCCCCAACAUAUCUGGUGCCAUGACUCAGAUUUAACCUGGCUGAAACAACCUCAGUUUGGCCCCCCGCGAGGCAGAGGCCAAGCACAGCAGAAGCCCAACUUUGUGAAAGCUCCCGCGGUGGAAGCUGAACACAAAGAAAACCCAGUGCAGAGAAAGUGACAAGAAGCCCAGCAUGCCGGAAACCAGGACUGCAAUAACAAAUUUGGCAUCAAGCUCACACAGCUCAGUCUCAGAUUCCAGUAGACCUCCGGUUAAGGCCUGGCUAAGCAUCCAGAAGAAGAAUAAACAUACUUCUGACUCCUAGUGUUAUCCAUGAAACUAACAGAUGAACUGGACCUAUGCCCUCAAUCCUUAAAGAAGAGCAAACAUUUGCUGCCGUAUACUUGCAGUGUUGUUUACCAUCAUGAGCCAAGAAUAAAGUCAAAAGCCUGACUCAGUGCUUCUGGAGUAAGGAAUGAGGACGUGAGAACUGGUCUGCUUCACAGCUGCUGUGUGGAUGAAGUCAGUGCAUUCUUCAUGGAAGAGCCUUGAACUAGAGAAUGGUUGAAGGUCACCAUGCUGGAGCCCCAGGUGGGGAAACUAAGGCAUAGAUCUGUUUGCCAACUUACUCAGGAUUAUGAAGCUGAUAGGUGGAAGUGCCAAUAUUCAGACACAGAUGAAGGUACAACCAAUUCAUUCUCACUGCAUGACCCCGCAGAGAGCUGGAGCAUUCAUGUUCAAAGAAAACUCUUCGAAUUGAGUCCACAAAGACUUCCCUCCAAGGAGACAGAGCUCUGUAAGUUGAACUUUCUGUGUUCACGGAAAGUUGUGAAUCAAGUGACAUCUUCCAGUGAUUUUCUCUGGCACCCUCAUACUUCCCAG